rnacentral:rRNA from 1 species
AGUGCAGACGGUUGAUUAAGUCUGAUGUGAAAGCCCGGAGCUCAACUCCGGAAUGGCAUUGGAAACUGGUUAACUUGAGUGCAGUAGAGGUAAGUGGAACUCCAUGUGUAGCGGUGGAAUGCGUAGAUAUAUGGAAGAACACCAGUGGCGAAGGCGGCUUACUGGACUGUAACUGACGUUGAGGCUCGAAAGUGUGGUAGCAAACA